GGCGGGUUAGUCCAAACAAGACACUUGAUUUCGGCUCAAGAAAUUGAGGUUCAAGUCCUCAGUCGCCC
rnacentral:tRNA from 1 species